rnacentral:lncRNA from 1 species
AAAAUGACAUGUUUUAUCAUAUUUAUGGUUGUAUUUUACAAAAAACAGAAAAAAUUUGUUUAAUCAAUUUUUUUCCAACUUUGCAACAUAAGGGGAGGCAACUCAAAUACAAGGGCAGAUAAUUCAGAUUAAGGUACUUUUACUAUAGAAUGUGUUAGGAAUUUACCUAUUUUAUAAUGUAGCAAGAAAACGGGUCCGGUGACCCCAUUGUUUCUUUUUCUUAACUGAAAGCAUACUAUUAAAGCCAUCUUCUCAUAUGUUAUCUCAAAAUUCUAUGGUGUAGAUUACGCUUUAUUGCAGAAAAUUGGGUUUUCCAUGCAUAAUCUAUACAAAAUUUGUCAAUUUUGCACACCGUGUAGCGGUUUUUAUUAAAAAAAAGCAUGAUAUAAACUACAUUUUGGCAAAUUAUUAAAAAAUUCUAUGGAUUAUAAUUUAGACACC